rnacentral:lncRNA from 1 species
AGAAAACUGGUACAGAAGUUAUGCUUUAAAGUUCAGUAUAGGCACUCAUGUAUAUUUUAAAGGUUUUAUACCCAAGAAGAAUUUCCGUAGCAAUACUAUAAGUAAUACAUUAAUUUAAGAGCUAACAAAAGCCCUGCACUGGAACAGAUUUAAAAGAACCUUUGAAGAGCAACACAAUCUGAUUUCAAGCUACCAAUAUUGGAUAGCCUUGACAUAUUUUUUAAGGCUGUACAAACUUAGGAACGUUACGAUUUAGCCAUCAUAAUUUUGAAAUCUGGCCGUUAGGAUAAUUGGCACAAAAAACCGCUUCCCACAAAUAAAAUACUUAAAUUUUCCAAUCGUCCAAUAAGCAUAACGAAAACCCCAUACUAGUUGAGACUCGUGUUUAUCGACAUGAUAAUAACCUAUAGUCAAAACAUAUAAUAAAUUGGAGCUUUAUAAGCUAACAUUAGCUGUCAGCCAGACGGACAAAGAACAUACAUAAAUCCUGAAAGAGAAGACCAGGCCCCUAGCUCCC